AUCGAACGCUGGCGGCAUGCCUAAUACAUGCAAGUCGAACGAGUGGCGGACGGGUGAGUAAUGUCUGGGAACCUGCCUGAAGGAGGGGGAUAACUACUGGAAACGGUAGCGAAAACCGCAAACCAUCGCUUGUGGCUUGACGGGAUUAGUUAGUGGGGGGGGUAAAGGCGCACAUAGGCGACGAUCCCUAGCUGGUUUGAUAGGGUGACCAGCGAAACUGGAACUGAGAAACGGUCCAGACGCCUACGGGGGGCAGCAGUGGGGAAUCUUGGGCAAUGGGCGAAAGCCUGAUGCAGCCAUGCCGCGUGUAUGAAGAAGGCUUUCGGGUUGUAAAGUACUUUCGGCGGGGAGGCGUUACCCACCGAGAAAGCACCGGCUAACUCCGUGCCAGCAGCCGCGGUAAUUC
rnacentral:rRNA from 1 species